UGAAAAAGAGGAAAAUUAGGAAAAAAUCCAGGAGUUGGGAUGUAAAAACACGAACAAGCAAGUAGGGCGUGAAUGGCUAACAUAGUAUGAAUAUGCCCGUCCGUUUGGACCAUUAGGUUCGACCUCCUCCGCCCCUCGCAAAAGUGUUUGGAGGCACUGCGGCACAUUGCGCACACUUGCGGGCUGCGUGGCUCUGCGUUCAAAGGGAAAGCGGAAGACUGGAGGAGGGGAAAGAGUCGCGAAGAGGGAGGGGAGGUCGGUUUCCGUUCCCCCGAGCACACGCCGCCAGAACAUACCGGGAGAGAAAGAGCACACUCUUGGCUGAGGCAAGAACACAACCGCGAAGGAAAAACAACCGCGGCCGCCGUCAGCCUUUCUUCCGUGUGUGGGACACACUUGCGGACUAUUAUGGGGACAAGAGAGCGCUCCUGACCGGGCUCGACUUGCCGUUCGUGUACCUCCGCUCUUGUGGUUGAAGUCUGCGAGGAAACAUAGGCGACAUGUUGAGGAGCUUUCUCGUCUUGAGGUUACGUUAGGAUGUUCCGUCUCGAAAACGAAAGGCCUAUAUUAUAAAACGAAGAGAAAAAAAGAGGCAUAUUCCUCAUGGACAUUUUGGCGGUAGGCAGCCAUUUGUUGUGAUCGCUGAUUUUAUUUGGUUUGUUACUGUAUUGUCAGAAACGGUAUAGGCCUCUUUUGAAGGCAGCGCCACCGCAAAUAUUGGGCGCUAUAUUUAAAAAUAUUUACCUUGGACACGUUUAUUAUUUAGUCCCUUUAGUGUUUCAAGAUAGUAAUACGUUUGUUGAACUACUUAAUUUUACCCUUACUGACUAGCACAAAGUGCGAAAACAACAGAGGGCCCCUCUGAUCAGUUUAAUAAGGGAGAGAAAAAAAAAGAAACAUUUUUUAAAUGUUAAUGUCGACCGACGUUGCAUCUAUCAUGCUGCCCGUGUCCCGUGGACUCAUGGAGCGGGAUAGAGACCUCGAAGCCCUGGCCGGAGUGCAUCCCAACGCAGGCGGCGCUCCCGCUGCUCUCCGCGGAAUGAAGCGAGGAGACCCAGAGCCCGAUGGACAGACAGCGGCCUCGUUGAUCGACUCGUCUGGGGCUGAGUGCAAGCGUCCCCGAAUGGAUGGCUCCGGAGGGAUUGGCGAGGUUGGACAGAAUAAUGAUCCACUGACCCUCGGUUACCAUGGCUACCCAUCUCAUAGUCAGGGUUCCCAGGAUACUACUUCUGGUCAGGAGGGACUCGUACCUCAGGCUUUCGCAGCUUUCCCUCCUCCUCCUCCACCUCCUCCCCAGAACGGUCUUGCCCUGGAUUACGGUGGCAGCCUGUAUGCGGCGGGUGCGGUGCAGGGCCCCGUGGAAACCGGCGGAGCAGUGAACAGUGUAGUCAACGUUGUCAACAGCCUUAGUGGCCAAUCAGAUGGCUCCUCUCAGAUUGAUGGCCAGUCGGGCUCAGGAGGAGGAGGUAGCGGUGGCGGGGGGAGCAUCGGAGAUGAUUCAGAUGCCAAAGGGACACCCAAACGCCUCCACGUGUCCAACAUUCCCUUCCGCUUCCGAGACCCUGACCUGCGGCAGAUGUUUGGGCAAUAUGGCAAGAUUCUUGAUGUUGAGAUCAUCUUCAACGAGAGAGGAUCCAAGGGCUUUGGUUUCGUAACAUUCGAGACGAGUGCAGAUGCGGAGAGGGCCCGAGAGAAGCUUCAUGGUACACUGGUGGAAGGACGUAAGAUUGAGGUCAACAAUGCUACAGCCAGAGUGAUGACCAACAAGAAGUUGACAACCCCGUACUCCAAUGGAGAGGGUCUUGCAGCUCUGCCAUAUGCUGGCUGGAAGUUAAGUCCUGUGAUGGGAGCCAUGUACAGUCCUGAGCUCUACACAGUGCCAGGGUUUCCUUACCCAGCAGCAGCGGCGGCGGCUGCCUCCACGGCUGCGGCGACUUUCCGCGGUGCUCAUCUGCGUGGUCGUGCGCGGCCCGUUUACAGUGCGGUCAGAGCGGCUGUACCACAGCCUGCCAUCCCCACCUACCCUGGUGUGAUGGCCUAUCAGGAUGGUUUUUACGGUGCUGCUGAUCUUUAUGUAAGUAUAAGGUUGGAGCCACCCAGUCCCUCCCCUUUUCUUCCCUAUAUUUCGACCCCUCUUGCCUGUGGGUUUUUAAGUGUGACAAUAGCACAGACCAGACCCACUAAGACAUGUACUCUUGAGUGUUUUCAGCAUCACUGUAUUCCUCAUUCUAUAAAAAUCAAUAUUAAAUCCAGACAAAUUGCACGUAAUGUACUGAUGCUCGCUUAUACAUUCACGAGUUCUUCUCUUGUAGGGUUUGCCUCUGGGCUUUUGUGAGUUGUGUACCAUUACAGUUAUCAGCGUGUAAUGGUGCGUGCGUGUGCGUGAACAGGUUGACAAGAGUUGUUUCUGUUCUCUCUGUAGACUAGUGUUUCAGGACAUUAGUGGCAGAUUGCCUCAGGUAGGGUUGACACUCACCAUGUGAGAGCCAGUGUGCAUCCUCCUCGUUUCCAAUGACUGCGUGCUGCUAGACAUUUUUUUGACCGUCUGAGAUUGAGAUGCCUUCUCUGUCCUCUUCUACUAACUCACUGAAUUCUGACAAGGGUGGAGUUGCGGAAGGGGGAGAAAAUAUUUUGCAUCAGGGAAAAAGCGGCUAUUUGUGUAAAAGCUCAACAGGAACUGAUCACAGAUGUCCACUAUUUAGGGAAAUCCAGCUAUUUGUCCCGUCAAAAAGUGUUUUGUUUACAGCUUUUGCGCUCAGCAUUUGCCACAUCAAGGCAAGUUGAAAAGAAUUUGGCCAGGUAAAUAUUUUCUAUAUUCGCCAGUCAUCUCCCUGGUGAAGGGCAACUAUGGAUGAUAAAAAGUGGCGUCGCAAGCUCUGGCUUUGAUGAAGAUUUAUCUCAUGAUCUCUAUUUUGCUCCCCGCCAAAAAAAGACUUUUAUAUGUUGAAAUUAUUCCUAGGUUAAGGUAUUGCUUUGAAUUAAGGAAACAACAAAACAUCUGGUACUGCCGUGAACUCCUUUGGGUUUAAUUCUACUUUUUUUUUUUUUUUCCAUUCCAUGCUGAGAUCCCUGACUUUCGCUGAAAUUAAAGUUAUUGAAGUAUUAUUUUUGUUCAUGUAUUUAUAUACCUGGCCUUGAUUUGAAUUGAUGAGCAAAUAACAUCUCCAACAAAUAUUGUGUUUUAAAUCUUCUAUUAAAAGAGAAGGGAAAUUAAAGGUUGCAGUUUGUACAAUCAGGAAAUUAGCAGCCGCCAUAUCCAAACAAAAAGCUUUUUCCGUUGAAAAUUCUUGUGAAAAAAAUGCUUAAAUCCCUGAAUUCUUUAUAGAUAUGGAUGUAAAACAGUAUAUAUUCUUGUUUAAAAGCAAAAAAAAAAAAAAAAUGUGCAGGUAGCAUUUAUUUUACGUAAAUAUUGCGAACUAUGAGGCUAGUCAGUAAGAAAAUAACGGCCGCCAUAUGUAAACAAAGAGCUUUUUCUGUUGAAAAUUCUUGUGAAAAAAUGCUUAAAUCCCUGAAUUCUUUAUAGAUAUGGACAUAAAACAGUCUAUUCUUGGUUAAAAGCACACACACACAAAAAAACGUGCAGGUAGCAUUUAUUUUAUUUUAUUAUUUAUUUUAUCAAUUUAAAUAUUGCGAAGUAUAAUGCCAAAGCUGUAGUGGCUAAUUUCUCCCAUUGAUUUUUUCACAACGUUUGAAAAUGCAUGCAUGGUACGAAAAAUAUAAUAAUUACCUUGUAUCCUUGAACAAAUCACUCCUGAGACAGUCCUUCCUGUUUGUAUGCAUUACAGCUUUUGUACUUUUUAAACCGAAAUCCGGCGUUGGAGCGCUGCAUGUGACCGACUGCUAAUAAAUGAAACAGAGUGUUGGACGGCCCCCUUCGGGAAGGCGUGACGAAGUGAAUGGGGAAUGUGUCAUGUCAAUACAUUAAGAAGUCUAUGGUUAAGCAAACCAAAUGCAGCCAUUUUUGUGUUAUAUCAUGAAACCUCUGUGAUGAAUUUAGUAGCUUUGCUAUUCCACAUCCAUUUUAUUUUCGUGCUCUUUUAAACACCCAACUGUAUGAAGACUGAGUCGCUCCAACAUUUCGCUGAGCAUUAAUAGUCUGCCGACUGCAACCAACAGGUAUGGCAAAAGUCCUCUGGUUUUUUUUUCCAAUUGCAAUGAAAUAUGCAGAUGCCAUCGGUUAGACUCUUAUUGUAAGAAUACUUGAGUAAAAAUUUACUCGUGAAGUCGAAGCAAAGAACAGAAGUGCAGUGAUGACCUAAAACAUCAACAGAUUGAGGUGCACUCUGUAAUUAUCCAGGUGAUCAGUUGAUUCAGACCCCUUCCAGGAGUCUCCCUGUGUGUUUCACUUUGUGGCAUGCUAACUAUAAUCAGUGUCAGCAUGCACACGUACUGUACUUAUGAAGCUGACCCACCCCAAGCCUUAGGCUCCGUCACCCUCACAUGUAAUUUUUCUUUUUGAAACUUCUCAAGUCUAUCGUUUACUCAUUAUUUCUCAGUUAACCUCUUCCUGUAUCACAUUUUUCCCAACCCCCUCCCCUCUCCUCCAUGGGUCCAGUCCAAAAUCUUUGCGACGCAAACGUGUGUGCUCCUGAAUGCGGGGACUUGGCCGUAAAUGGUCUUUAGGCUAGAAUGCAGCAGUCUGUGUUGAUGGAGGGAUGUUUGACCUAAUAAUGUUCAUAUCGCAGUCUGGGGCAAGAAGCAUGCUGUCUGUGAUUGGUCGCUUGGCCACUUGAGGUUGUUUUAUGUAUGCGUGUGAUCGAGAAAUGCACAACUGUAGUGUUUUUGUGUGUUUGUAGUGUACAAAUGACCCCUUUCCAUCUGUUUGCUUUUCUUUAACUGUAUUUUGGUAGGGCCACAUAUCCAGAGCUUUUCUCCCUCUAUGCCCAACCUAAAGGGGGGAAUGGGCAUUGUGCACAAUGAGUUUAGUUUUUCUAUAUUUUUUGAGGGAGGUUAGUCAUGGAGGGAGCAAGCCACAUAGAGCCUGAGACUUCAGCCAUGUCUACACCUAACAGGGUUUUGUUUGUUUUUUUAAACUGAAGAUCCUGCCCUAAUAUGUCGGGAAAACAAUAAUUACGUCCACACCAGCACGUUUGUAGAAAGAAAAAAAAGCUUCCCCAGCCAACCGCAUUCAUUCAUUUUUAAGGAUGAGCGAAAAAUAAUUGUCCUCCAUCUUCGCAUGUCUUCUUCUAUAUGAAGCGCUGCAAGAGUUUGUAAAUAAAUGAAAGUAAAAAAGCACCUUACUCAAAAUGUGAACAAUGGUCUCAUGUGUGACAUAGGGACAAAGUUUGUUGCAGUCAGUGACGUUUCCCCUGUCAAAUCUUUGGUUAUGUGCCCACAUGAUGGCGCUACAAACGCAGAAUUUGCAAAUCUUCUCUUUAGACGGUGUUUUUAAAACCCCUGUUUAAAUUUGAUACCCUGCUACGUGUAGACAUGGCCUUCUUGUGAAUGCUGCACCAUGUUAGUCUUUUGCCAGCUGUCUGCUCGUUAAUCUUUCACUUUCUUCACGCUGUAACCCCGUAGUUCACUUGUUACUUUUACACAUCUUACUGUGUAAAAUUUUAACAAGUUUCUUUGUGUACCACAUACCCGACCCUCGUCUUCCUUCUCUUUUUGCGUCAUCACAGGGAGGCUACGCUACGUACCGUUAUGCCCAGCCGACCGCCGUAGCGACACCUGCAGCCGCAGCAGCGGCAGCAGCAGCAGCUUACAGUGACAGCUAUGGACGAGUCUACACAGCUGACCCCUACCAUGCUGCACUUGCUCCCGCUGCCUACGGUGUUG